GUCGAAGGUAUAUGCUUGCAUUUCCCACAUUGUACGGAAAAGUCGAGGUCGAAAGAAAGGCUAAUUUUUGUCGUAUUAAAUUCUUUAAAGAUAUCAAUUGACUGGCUUUUUUAUAUUUGGUGAGUAGAAUGUUUUUGUAUGAGUAUGUUAAGGAUAUUUAUCGCCGUUUUUGUUGGUUGUAAAGUUAAAUAUUUCUCGAACUCCAAAUUUUAAUGGCUGCAUGGCCCACCCAGCGUGUCAGCCGCCUCGCGCCGUUCGAUGUUUGGCGUCUUUUCUACGCUAAAACUUACGUUUGAACAAAAAUUUUGUUGUCUUUUGCACUCCAAAUAUUUCAUAGAGUGUUCUAACACGAAUAGGUUAUAAAUUUACUCGCAAUUCGAUGAAAAUUUUCGCUCAAUGAAAGCAUUAAUGUUCGAUGACAAUUAAUGUCGUGCAAAUUUGUGUUGUGAAAUUGUUCAAUCAUUUUAAUGAAUUCUCGUUUUGAAUCUUGCUCAAAUUUAGACAUUCUACUUAGAUACUUCACUGGAAAUUUAAACAAGCUUUCCUCUUAAUGUUGUACUUUUAUAUUUAUUUAAGCUGAUAUUCUGAAGGCCGGCUUUGAAUCGUGCUUUAAACUGCCUUCAAAAGGUUGUACAGAAAACUAUAUAUUUAGUCAAUUUAAAGUUUUGCUCACAAAAUUCUUGGUUGGUGUUUGAUUGUGCAUGUAUGCUUUGAAAUUUAACUGACAUGCCAUUGAAUUUGUGGAAUACAUAACGUAAAUCAUUUAUAAAACCAACAUUUUUACCAGUUCAUUUUCGUUCUAAAUUUCUAAGUUGAAUUAAUAUUAGAACGUUUCUCCAAUUUUGUAAAAGGUACAAAUCAGCCAAUUUGAAACGAAUUCUUCAUUUCAUGAUCAAAAUUUCAAAACGUUUCAGCCUUUACUUGAGCCGAAGGUGCAUGGAUGUGGGAUGUAGGAUUUUGGGCAUUUCACUCGAUAUUUAACAAAUAUAAAACAUUUUCCGUGUUGAUAUACAGUUAUAUCAACACGAGUGGAAUUGGGAAAACGAGAAAUUGUAUGGAAACACGACGCCCGAAGGGCGGACUGUUUUCAUACAAUUUCGAGUUUUUCCAACUUCCACGAGUGUUGAUAUAACUAUAUAUCAAUACGGAAAAAUGUUUUAUAUUUUUUUUAUAAUAUAGCAAUGUCAAAAGCCCGAAGGAUAAGAAAAAUUUCCGUGUUUACAAGCGGCGGAAAAUUUCCCGUGUUGACAUAGAGUUAUAUCAACACGGCUCUUAGCCAAUCAGCGUUCAGAAUUUACAAAUGCUAUAUUAUAAAACUAAUUGUUGAAGAGAUUUGUAGAUGGAAAUUUCGAAUAGAAUUUUUAUACAUUUAUUACAACAAACCAGGAGCAAUUGCGAAUUAUUAAUUAUAUAAUAAUAUACAUAAAGAUAUUACUCGACUGUGAUUGGUUGAUUUCAGUGCAGUUAAUCCCAAACAGCAGUGCAAUUUUCUGUAAUCACAUUGCAAUUUUCUGCAAUCACAGUGCAAUUUUCUGUAAUCACAGUGCUAUUUUCGCAAUCACAGUGCAAUUUUCUGUAAUAACAGUGCAAUAUUUUGUAAUCACGGUGCAAUUUUCUGUAAUCACAGUGCAAUUUUCUGUAAUCACAUUGCAAUUUUCUGCAAUCUCAGUGCAAUUUUCUGUAAUCACAGUGCAAUAUUUUGUAAUUACAGUGCAAUUUUCUGUAAUCACAGUGCAAAAACUGUAACAAACUGAUCUGAUUGGUGGAAAACUGAUUGUGACGAUUAAAUCAACCAAUCGGUUUAAAGCAGAUUAGUUUAAAAAAGUAACGGUCACUGAUUGCUUCAAAACAAAACAAACAUGGCGCUGCGCUACAUGAAGUGAAAGUUGACUUCGGAUGAAAAAUAUGGCUUUUAUAUCUUUUUUUUUUAAGCCUUUGCUUUAAACAAAACUAACAAAACUUACAUAGUUGAGUGGAAUUUUCAAACUGUUAGCGUUGUAUAAUGUAAUAUAACAAAGCCAGGAAAACUUUGCUAUAUAAAACGUAAGUUAAAACUACAACUGUUUCGAACAUUUUUAUGCAAAUUAUUAAUAUUAAGUAAUAGCAUGGUUUCUUGUGAAAUUUGGAUAAAGAUGCACUCGUCACUUUUUCAAUGACCUGAAAUAGCACUCGUCUUUCGGACUCGUGCUAUUUUGGGGUCUUUGAAAAACUCACUCGUGCAUGUUAUAUCCAAAUUGCACUCGAAACAAUGCUAACCCAUACUAAUAACUACAGUGAAACACGCAAUUUGAUUGGUCAAUACCCGUGCAGAAUCAGGCUAUCCUGCACGAGGAAUUAAAAUGCUUAGCUUCGUGGGAUGUUCAAAAUGUCAUUGUUUCACUAUAGUUAUUUUAUAAAACAAUAACCAAAUAGUUUUCCAAGCAGCAUAGCGUGAUCCAUACACUUGCGAUGUUGCUCGACUUUCGUAAAGCGUAAAAAUACACUCGCUUGCGGCUCGCUUUUAUUGAUGCUAUAUAGUUUCUAUUGUUAUACAAUUUGCAGUAUAAAAUUUUAAAAUUGAUACUUCAUACUGUCCAUUCUCUUACUUAAAAGUAUAUUUUCUCAUCUGCUAUAAAGUUCUAUAUUUCAAGUUCUAUAUUUAUCAUGAACUUCUUCAAAUGUCAUGCGAAGCGUAUGUGGCUCAAUUUUACAAUUAAAUUGAAGUUUAUAUCAUCUAUAAUAACAUACCUAGCGGAUAUGUUUCAGAACUUGAUCAUCUUGUAAAUUAAAAGUGAUAAUUUCAGGCAGUUUUUUCCAAUUUAAAAGAAAGUGUACAAAAAUAAUAAAAUGAUCCUGUUACCAUUGGAACUACUUCAAAUAUUUUAUGUUUGGAAGAUGUGUAUAUAGUAGUUUUGCUAGCUAGACGAGAGGUUUCUGCAUAUAUGCACGUAUUUCUGGUUUAUCUAUAUAAAAUCAAUACAAAUCAUCUCUUCCACCAUGAGCCAUGUAAGAUAACAGCAAAAAAUAUCGCAAAAAUAUUGGUAAAGCGCAUCAACCUUGGACGAGAAAGAAAGUUGAUUCAUCAUUCAUGCAUUAAUUUACUUGAGUUGUUGGUAACUGUGAAUUCAGUUUUUGUCCAUUGUGCUGCGUAUACCCUACUCGAGCUCAAACAUUGUUUUUCCUCUUUAUCAUGUAUCUAAAUUGCAUUAAUACCACCGCUCUUUCCGCAAACAAUCAUGCAUAAGUUAAGUUAUGUGAAUGUUAAAAAAUUACUGCAACUUAAUUAUUGCAUCUUUUUUACUGUUUUUUUAAAACCACUCAAAUCUCAGUUCUUGGGUUAUAAUGGCUGCAUCUGCUGUUGUAUCAGUGACCUUAGGUUGUUGUAUAUAUAGAAACCUUCGCGCAACUGGCUCUUGUAACGGCUCUUUAAUUUCUCUGAUACAAUUUAGAAAACCAGAAAACAUAAAGCAGGAAAAUCGUCUUUGAAGUUAGAACCUGCAGAUUCGAAAUUAGGACCGGCUAUGGAUACGCGACCACGAAAAUGCAAACAAAAGGCAGAAGGAAAAGAAGGUACAGUUAAAAAGGUGAAAUCUAUUAUUUUUUUUCUUGUCUGUAGUCUAGACCUUUCUUCAGAAUCAUAAUGAAUG